AACGAACGCUGGCGGCAGGCUUAACACAUGCAAGUCGAACGCCCCGCAAGGGGAGUGGCAGACGGGUGAGUAACGCGUGGGAACGUGCCCUUCGCUUCGGAAUAGCCCCGGGAAACUGGGAGUAAUACCGAAUACGCCGUAUUGGGAAAGAUUUAUCGGCGAAGGAUCGGCCCGCGUUAGAUUAGCUAGUUGGCGGUGUAAUGGACCACCAAGGCUACGAUCUAUAGCUGGUCUGAGAGGAUGAUCAGCCACAGCUGGGACUGAGACACGGCCCAGACUCCUACGGGAGGCAGCAGUGGGGAAUCUUGGACAAUGGGCGCAAGCCUGAUCCAGCCAUGCCGCGUGAGUGAAGAAGGCCUUAGGGCUGUAAAACUCUUUCGCCGGAGAAGAUAAUGACGGUAUCCGGAGAAGAAGCCCCGGCUAACUUCGUGCCAGCAGCCGCUGUAAUAC
rnacentral:rRNA from 1 species